rnacentral:snRNA from 1 species
UUUCUUCUACCGUAUGGA